AACCCCCAGCUAGGCUGGGGGUUCCGGAAAGCUUUCAGUUUUAAGCCAGUUAUUAAAACCCCUUUUGAUUUGUUAAAAC
rnacentral:sRNA from 1 species